GGCAAUCUGCUAGUAUAGUGAUUUGAGACUGUAAAGGGUUUGUUCUUUUGCUCUUUGCAAUUAAAUCUUGUGAGUGUUCACUGUUUGGAUCCCCAGUGCUUUUAUGAGCUGUAACACUCACCACGAAGGUCUGCAGGUUCACUCCUGAAACUGGCGAGACCAUGAACCCCUACUGGGACUUGACAUAGACCGACCCUGCCCUCAAAAAGCGUGUACCGACUGGGGAGAUAAAAGGGUGAACAAAUAACUGCAGUCCAGCGGGAUAAAUUGGAUAGAGCUCGCACACAAAGUCAUGGGGCAAGUACCUCUGCCUGGGGG
rnacentral:lncRNA from 1 species